AUAUAAAGAAGAAAUUCUUCACUGGGAGGGUGGUGAGGCACUGGCACAGGCUGCCCAGAGAAGCUGUGGAUGUCCCAUCCCUGGAGGUGUUCAAGGCCAGGCUGGAUGGGGCUUUGGGCAACCUGGUCUAGUGGGUGGCGUCCCUGCCCAUGGCAGGGGGGUUGGAACUGGAUGAUCUUUAAGAUCCCUUCCAACCCAAACCAUUCUGUGAUUCUGUAACAGUUGUAAGUAGAUAUCUUCUGACAUCUUCCUUUUCCAUUGCUUUUGUAUUUUUCACCUCAAACCAUCUUAGUACAGGAAAUAUAUUAAAAAAAUAGAAAGAAAUUAUGCCAGAAAGAGUACCUGCCAGCUGGAAGAAGUGUAUGAGCAUUAAGUAAUCAUCCUGUUAUGCAGGAGCAUUAUGCUGUGAUAAAGAAUGAAUUGCAGUGGCAACUGGCAGCACCGAGACAGUACAUCUGUCACUUCUGUAUACCAACACUUCUUCAUAGAAGAAUCUGGAAAAUUAGUUUCCUCAGAUGAUAACCCCUAAUAAAGCCAAUUAAGGAUGGCACAUAUUCAAUCCUGCAAGCCCUGAACAGGAAAUACUCUCUAUCUCGCUGAUUUCUCAGCCCUUCUGAAUGCAGUGGCUGGAUGCUGGCCAAGAGAUGCUCGUGAGAAAAGCAGCGAGUCAACAGACAAAUGCAGCUCACAAAAGGUAAUUGUGGAGCAUGGAUAAAGUUAGCUAGCUACAGAUGAUGGACUCAGCCUGGACUCAGAUGCUGAAGUCAGUGGGGUUGAAGCAGACACAGAUGGCAGGUGAGGCUUACCAUGGCAAGGGUGGUGGCACAGGUAGGGACAUGGUCUGUGCUGGGACAGUGGGAUGCAGCACAGCUCUGGCUGCUACCUGUGCUUGGGGGGAAGGCUGCUACAGACAACCCAGGGCUUUGAGAAGCCUUUUAGUCCAUCCUUCGCUAAGGGAGAACUAUGUUUUUCUAAAGUAAGGCUGUCAUUUCUCCAAUGUGUACAUAAAAAUGUCCAUAUCCUCUCUCUCUCUAAUAGUCAAAAAAUAUUUACUAGUACCUGAUAUGAAUACACCUUUACAUAAUUUAAGGAAACUCCUUUUUGUCUUAAAUUGUGAUGAACACGUGGAAUAACUGGAGGCCAACUGCUAUACAACACAUUUUCACUCCUCAGAAGAUUUGCAUUUCCCUGCAGUAUUUCCUUUUUCAGAACAUCUUCUGGACUCUCUUCAAUUUCUUAGAAGUCUGAAAACAGAGCACAUUUAACUUAGGCUUUUCCAGCUCCAAAUAAAGCAGAAAAUACCUUGCUGAUGUCUUCUGUAAAUUCUCUUCUGAAGAAGAGAGUGCUAUGGAGAGAAUGAAGGAAUCAUUUCAUAACUCUGGCUCCUGGAGCCCAGCAUCUUCUGUUGUACUUGAAAUGCUGGAUCCCGGAUUUGUGCUACACAUUUUUUAAAAACCAAAUUGGAUAAGAUACAGAAGAAAUCAUUGUACAACACUGCAGAUCAUCACCUCUCUACUAUACCACUCUAUUUAUGUUAAAAGCCUUGCUGACCAGUCAAGUACACUACAACACUAAGACUCAGCGCGUACUGAGUUGAGAGCAAGUCCUGCUCAGAACUGAGCAAUAAUAUGCAUUAAAGAUUGUUUGGAAUGAAAAAUCAUAUCAGAAAAAAAAUAUCUCUUAUCCCAUAGGAGAGGUGGGAUGCUUUCACAUACAGAAAAGGGCCCUCUAGGGGGGGAAUUAAUCAGAAGAAAAGUUUCAAAAUGAAGUGACAGUCAAAGAUGUUUUAGGAAAAAUGGAUAAAAUGAACAGAAGAAAAGAUUGCCAGAACCAGCUAGUAUUAGAGGACACUGUAACGAAGAACACAACUAGCAAGAGGAAGAAUCGACAUAUUUUAGCAGAGAAGGCUGUGCCUCUCCAAUUUCUGACAGUUCUGUGAUUCAGUCCCUAAAGAUAUGAUAAAGACAGUCUUAUGUACGUAAAUUCCCAAGGAAAAAAAAUAGAGGAAGGGCUGAUAAAGGAUAUGAAACCAACGGCAGAAAAUAAAACGGCUAGUUUUCUUAGUGAAAUGAGACACUGAGUAGGGAUGCACAGCAUCUGUUCUGAGACAUCGCUUGUGCAUAACUGAGAAGGCUUAACAGUGAAAUAAUGCUUUUCAGGGAAUAUUAGUGACAGUGGAUGAGAAAUCUAAGCUCAGGGAGUUAUAGAAGAACCCUAUAAUGCUAAAUGAUUAGGUGAUGAAAUGCUGGAAGAAAUUCAGGGCCAGUAAAUGCAUACGCUGGAUGACAAAAGUGCAAUUGGGUUUUUAAAUCUAAAAAUUAGAGAAAUUCAAGGAAGAAUGGUCUAUAGAGGGUUAUUAAACACAGAUAUGAAAACAACGUCUGGCUGAGGAAAUCUGUAAGCUGAAGAAUGUCAGGAGCUGGGAGGAUGCUGGAGGGGAAGCAGCCCUUCAGCCCUUCCCCAGCCGGGCUGGAUGGUGCUCCUGUCUUGCCCAGGACAUCUCAUCUCAUGUUCAGCUCCCAACGAGGACUUAAGGCAUGAAGUUCACAUAUGUUUACUUACAACACUAUGUUGUUUGCACAGAUAACAUGGGAUUUAAAGUUUUCAGAAUAUUGCUUAGUUGCUAUAAUACAGGGAAGCCUAUUUUAAUAACAUGACACUUCUGUAGUUUCGCAUUUUUCUCACGUCUUCUUUCCUAGGUCAAUUCCUUUAAACCCUGACCUCAUACUCACAAAUUAUGCUUACCAGAUUUUAGCAAAAACCUCAAAACACCUAUACUAACAGAAAUACAUUUAAGUUCUAUGAACUCCGUAACAUCUUGACAAUAACAUUACACUGUUUCAGUAAAUCUCCACUAAUAAAUAGUUUUAACAAUAUGAAAGUGUUUUUUUUUUUUUUUUUUUUUAAAAAAAAGGCUGGUUAAAACAAGUAUCAGAGUUCCGAACACUGAAGAUGUUAUCAGAGAGAAAUGAUCCAUGAGCCAAAGGGAAAUUAAUUUCCUUGGCAAUAGGCAUUAAACAUGAAUGCUGUCUUAUUCAUUCUAUCAAGACAGAGACAGAACAAACAAGAGACCAUUAUAUUUGCACAUGCUGUAAUGGAAGUUCAUAUGACAAAAAUUAGGGAGAAAAGGGCUUACUUUAUUCAAUAUAAAUCUUCAAAGUAAGAGUAUGUAUACAGAGAAGGGAAAAUAUGCCACACACACAAACAAAAGCAAAGCUGCUUUCCUGAAGCCUGUAGUAUUUAUUUAUAUUGCUAAGCUUCUCUCAUGAGAAGAUGAAGUAAAAUUCUCAUUAAAGAAAAGAAACACUGAGUAGCUUAAAAUUUUCUUUUCAACAUACAGCUCAGCCAUAGCUUAGUUUAGCUCUCUAGUGAAUUCCAGCCAUUCACUUUCCAAUUCUCUUUCAAUGAUGUUUCAGGGAAAGGGACUGUAGCCAACAGCCUACAAUGUGUACCUGAAUUAAUUGUCACUUAAAAAAGACACUUAAAAAAAACACCUUUUUUUUUCCUUAAAAAAAUAAAAGAACAAAUAAAAAGGACACUGUUGUCCUCUCGUUAAAAAUGAGAAAAGGUAUGAUCAUCAUCAUACAGUACAGGUAAUAAAUUCCUUUGUUUAGCUACUUUUUUUUUUUUUUUUUUUUUUAAAGUUAGAUGAUAGUUUUUAAAAGCACAGUAUUGACCUUUAGGAAAAAAACAACAGGUUUCCUUAUAGCAACAAGGUCUAAAUGUCUUCUAUAUCCUCUCAACCUACUUCACUUGUGGUGGCACUUUACCACAAGCCUUUGAAUGGUGAGAAAAGAGCCAGAAGUGUGACUUGUGCCCUAAUUCUGUUUUCUUAUAAGAUUUCUGCUGUGUCUGCUGACCUUGAAUCUUUUCCUUCACCUCUCAGGGCUUAGAUACGAAAAGGCAGAGAAGAAAAAAAACGCUUCUUCUGCACGUGGCUUCCCUGCUGCUGUGCCUGGGGAUGGUGUCUACUCUGCUGACCCCAUCUAAUUUUCCUAUUUAUAAUCUUCCCGCUGCUGAACAGCUCUAAAGCUUUUUUUUUUUUUUUUCCUGGAUGAUUACUAAUACUUUGCAUUAUUUCUAGCAGUGCCAUUCUGAAUAGCAGAAACAAAACGGAACAAACGUUGAUUUUAUCUGUCAGUUUGACAUGACAAUCACUGUAUGGACAACUGCAAGUAUUUUAAACUCCUAAAAUAACAAGAUUUAGAAACAUAAAAAUGUUCCUAUUUGCCUCUUUUUUUUAGUUUUGAGCCUUGAGUCAUCUGCUGAAAUUCUUUUCUAGAGCCUUGAAAAACAGAAAAAUGCUUUCCUCCCUACAUGCAAAUCCAGAAUCUCUCAUCUCAUUCCAGAUGCUACUUCAAAAAGUACAAGUAACAAGAUCAAUUAUAAAUCAUGUAAGUUAAUAACUCUACUAGGAGGAAGAGAGAAAAAAAAAGAUUAUUUAUUUAUAUUUUUUUUAAAAUCGAAGACAUCAUCUCUUUGGAUUACUUUCUGAAGAAUUUUGAUUUUUCUUUUCUCCUCCAACCAUUGAUGCAUAGUUUUGUUUUAUUUUUUCUCCCCUUUUAAAGAGAACAGAAAAUUAAUUUCUAAAAAAUCUCAUUUAGCAACCCACAUUCACCAUGGAAAGUUUCCUAUUUGCCACCAGUUAGUGGAUUUUUCCCCAAGAAAAAGGAAAUUACUCUUGACAAGCUUAGUUAUGAAUAGUAGCUGGCUUUGCUUGGACCAGAGCUCAUAGGAAAAAGUUGAGUUCAAGGUAACCUGACUAGACUGUGUUUCAAUAAUUCGCUGAGCAAUAGGCAGCUUUGCUGAAAAAAUGGCAGUCCCUUUACCAGAGUCCCUAAUAAUCAGCUAAACACUCUUGUUGUUGUUCUUUUUCUUUUCUUGUCUAGGUAUAGCAGCUAUAGUUGCAAGGGAUAUAGGAUCUUUGAAAAUACUAGUCAACGAGAAACAAGAAGAGAACGCUUAGAAUAAAAAAUAGGAAAAAACGAACACUGCUUUUACUUGAUAGGAAAUUUUCCCUACCUUAAAACAGUUCAUGGACAACAUAUUUCUCAACUGAUAUGUAUGGUUUACAGCUGCUUUUGAAUGAAGGAUUUACCUUUUCGUUCCAGACAGGCCCCCACUGCCUCCCGUGUUAGUUCAUAACCAUCAAACUGUAACCAGCAUCAUCAGCCAACAGGUCUGCGAGUGGCUGUGCUUUUUGAGUAAGGUUAUUUAACGUUAGUCAUCCUAAGAAAAAAAUAAAGCAUCUGAAACAGUUGACGUCUGUCUCAUGUUUCCUCCCAUUUCUUUCUUUAAAAAAGCAGGGAAUUAUAAAGAAAGACAAGAAAAUGAGUUCCUGGCAGCAAUCCCUUUCUUUAGUUGACUGACUUUAAGGAAACAAUGGCCAAGUGCCCCAAACCCCACUCAAUGUCAACAAAUACAGGUUUGCAGCUUGUCCCAGUCUGUUCCCUCUAGUUUUCUCCUGGCAACACCACCUUGCCAUGCUAUUAAAAGUUGCUUUAGUUUUUUGUUUUGUUUUUUUACUUUUUAAUUCAAGUAAAAUCCAUCACAAAAAGGCCGAAGGAAACACGGCGUGCAGAGUUUUCUAAAGUACCCCAGUGACCAUCAGUGACCACUCAGAUGCCUGGGUUUAUUUCUAUUGGGCUUUCAUUUCAUUAAGAUGCCAAGAUACCUUAGAGCAUGUGGUUCGAAUCAGUCCUCAUCUCAGGGCACAGAAACCAUUAUUCUUCCCAAAGCAACUGCAAUAAGCACUUGCCAAUGCUCUUUUGAUUGCAGUUGCUUAUCGGGCUGGCAAAGAAGCCGAUCUUCUGACUCAUUGUCCCUGAUCCUUUCAUAUCCCUCUGGGAAAAUAUGAGAAGGGAGGACACUAAAUACCAGCCCAGGGCCCCCACGUUAAAAAGUUCAUUUAAGUUCAUUUAACUGAAGCUAUUAGCAUGCCGAUAACCUCAUAAUAAAACUUUAAGUCUUACAGAAAAAAAA